AGUGGGGAAUCUUAGACAAUGGGGGAAACCCUGAUCUAGCCAUGCCGCGUGAUCGAUGAAGGCCUUAGGGUUGUAAAGAUCUUUCAGUGGGGAAGAUAAUGACUGUACCCACAGAAGAAGCCCCGGCUAACUCCGUGCCAGCAGCCGCGGUAAUACGGAGGGGGCUAGCGUUGUUCGGAAUUACUGGGCGUAAAGCGCACGUAGGCGGAACAGAAAGUCAGAGGUGAAAUCCCAGGGCUCAACCUUGGAACUGCCUUUGAAACUCCUGUUCUUGAGGUCGAGAGAGGUGAGUGGAAUUCCGAGUGUAGAGGUGAAAUUCGUAGAUAUUCGGAGGAACACCAGUGGCGAAGGCGGCUCACUGGCUCGAUACUGACGCUGAGGUGCGAAAGCGUGGGGAGCAAA
rnacentral:rRNA from 2 species